rnacentral:lncRNA from 1 species
UGCUUCCUCUCUCUACAGGUCCUCUCUCCUCUUUAGCUCCUUCCUCCUCCUCUCACUUGGAAUUCCUGUUGCAAGUACAGCAUAAUGAUCUGCUACAUGCUGUGGUGGUUGGUGGCAUGCUGCCUCCUGCUCCUCUUGUACGGCGUUCGGCUCCGUUCCGGCUGGAGCCAUGGCCACGGACCGAGGAGCUACCCGGUGAUCGGGUGUCUCUUCGCCUUCUACCAGAACCGGUGGCGGCUGCUGGACUGGUACACCGAGCUGCUGGCGGCGUCGCCGACGCAGACGAUCGUCGUGGACCGGCUGGGCGCGCGGCGGACGGUGGUGACGGCGAACCCAGUGAACGUGGAGCACAUCCUCAAGGGCAACUUCGGCAACUACCCCAAGGGGAAGCCCUUCACCGACAUCCUCGGCGACCUGCUCGGCACGGGGAUCUUCAACGUCGACGGCGAGCUGUGGUACGCGCAGCGGAAGCUGGUGAGCCACGAGUUCUCGGCGCGAGCGCUCCGGGAGCUGGAGUUCGCCGUGCUCGAGGACGAGGCCCGGGAACGCCUCGUGCCGGCGCUAGGCCUCGCCGCCGCCAGCGGCGACGCCAUCGACAUGCAGGACCUGCUCCGCCGCUUUUCCUUCGACGUCAUCUGCCGGGUGUCGCUCGGCGUUGACCCCGGCUGCCUCGACCCGGCAUUGCCGGCGCCAAGGCUGGCGGCGGCGUUCGACGCCGCCGCCGGGAUCAUCGCCAGGCGCGGCGCCGCGCCGGUGGCCGCCGUAUGGAAGGUCAAGCGCGCGCUGGGCGUCGGCUCCGAGAGCCGCCUGCGCGAGGAGAUCAGGGUCAUCCACGAGGCCGUUAUGGACCUCAUCCACAUCCGCAAGAAGGAGCUCGCCCUGGUCAACGGCGGCGGCGGCGGCAACGACGGGCGGCGGAGCGACCUCCUGUCGCGGAUGAUGGAAUGCGGGUACCCAGACGAGGCGAUCCGCGACAUGGUGAUCAGCUUCAUCAUGGCCGGCCGCGACACGACGUCGUCGGCGCUGACGUGGUUCUUCUGGCUGCUCACCCGCCACCGCGACGUCGAGCGGGAGGUCCUGCGCGAGGUCGCCGGCGGCGGCGCGGGCCACCACGCCGCCGGCGGGCAGGGAAAGAUGCGCGUGCUCCACGCCGCGCUGUGCGAAACGAUGCGGCUGUACCCCCCGGUGGCGUGGGACUCGAAGCACGCGGCGGCGGCGGACGUGCUCCCCGACGGCACCCGCGUCGAGCGCGGCGACCGCGUCACCUACUUCCAGUACGGCAUGGGGCGGAUGGAGUCCAUCUGGGGCGCCGACGCCGCCGAUUUCAGCCCGCAGCGCUGGCUCUCCCUGCCGGAGGACGGCGCGCCGCCCGCCGCCGUCGCCGGCGUGUCGCCGUUCAAGUACCCGGUGUUCCAGGCCGGGCCGCGGACGUGCCUCGGCAAGGAGAUGGCCUUCGUGCAGAUGAAGUUCGUAGCAAGCACCGUGCUCCGGCGGUUCGAGCUCACCCCCGUCGACGAGGGGCGCGUGCCGGUGUUCCUGCCGCUGAUGACGGCGCACAUGGCCGGCGGGCUCAACGUGACGGUGAGGAGCAGAGGGGAUCAGCAGGCCGCUGCGGCGGCGGCAGGCGGCAGCACACCCAUUGCAGUUGCUGCUGCUACGGGGAAUUGAUCGAGCACUCCAUUCCAUCCAUCCAGUAGUUAACCCUCAUGUAAGUACGACCAAUUAAAAUCAGGAUUGUUUAGUUCAUAAAAUAUAUACAUUAUUAAAAAUUCCUGAGGAUUGUUGUUAUUGCUGCCUACAGAUAG